rnacentral:tRNA from 2 species
GCCGGGAUGUUGGAACUGGUAUACAAUGCAGACUUAAAAUCUGCUGUUCCGUAAGGGACGUGUGGGUUCGAAUCCCACUCCCGGCACCA